UACAGAGGGUGCGAGCGUUGUUCGGAUUUACUGGGCGUAAAGCGCGUGUAGGCGGCUGGUCAAGCGUGAUGUGAAAUCUCCGGGCUCAACCCGGAAACUGCAUCGCGAACUGGCCUGGCUAGAGUGCAGGAGAGGGCGGCGGAGUUCCCGGUGUAGCGGUGAAAUGCGUAGAUAUCCGGAGGAACACCGGUGGCGAAGGCGGCUUCCUGGACCGACACUGACGCUGAGGCGCGAAAGCUAGGGGAGCAAACGGG
rnacentral:rRNA from 1 species